ensembl:misc_RNA Y_RNA Y RNA
GGCCGGUCUGAUGGUAGUGGGUUAUCAGAACUUAUUAAUAUUAGUGUCACUAAAGUUGGUAUUCAACCCUCGACUGCUAAAUUUGACUGGCUUAUA